rnacentral:lncRNA from 1 species
GAGAUAUGUGUGUAGAUUAAGUAAACAAUUUUAAACCAUUAAUCUAUUUAUUUGCUGAAUUGUUAGACGAGUCUCAUUACGAUGAUACUUUUUUCAACAGCGCCACGGUAACUUUAUUUCACCAGGAACGGAGUAUGGGGACUUCCGGAUCCGCUUAGUUUUCGAUUUCGCGGGUCAGCACAAAAAAGCUAAAGUCGUUGAUUUUAUGGGAAGAUGUCUAACAACGAGUGCGACAACCAGACACAAGCAUGUCACUGCUGUCCAUGGUUGAGCAAGCUAUCAAGUCUUGCAAAGCUGAACAAACCAAGAUUAACGAGAGUAUUCAACUUUACAGAGAACUGCUACAGACCUUAACGCCACAACCAAAGAUGGGCUCUGAUGAGUCAGAAUGUGCCGAUGAUGCAGCUCCAGUUACCUCACCAGGGGAGAAAGAAGAUAUGGAAUUGCUUGAGCGAGCACUGGAGAAAGCCCUUCGGGUCCGCACUGGCACAGCAUCUUCUAAAAAAGACUCAAACAAACAAUCUGCCUCUCAAAAGGAACCCGUCACUACAGCUGUCUCAUCCAAAGAGAAAAUGCAGGCUUCUGCAGCUUCUAAACGAAAUCCGACGACCUCCAGAUCAACCUCUAAAUGUGCCGGUCUUGACAGAAAAGAGCACAAAAAGCCUGCUGGGAUUGUACAUCACCAGGCAGUGAGGACAUCACAGCUGACUGUCUCAGCGUCUGUCUCACUUGUCCGGGGUCAGUCACACACCUCCACCCUCCACUCUAAAAACAAGACCAUUAGAAGCAACGUGCUCAGUGGAAAUGACCUGGGCAAAGCUGCAGCUUCCUCCACUCUUUCAAAUCACUCGCUGCCUGUUUCACAUACAGAGGAGACUGGAGCUCGCAGUUCACCUCAACAGUAUGGGAAAGCUUCUGAACAAACGGCAAAAUGGAAAUCUCUAAGGAGCAAGAAGAACAGGUUAUGGGACAAAGUUGUUGCCCUACAAAGGAAACCUGUGCCAGGGAGGAGUCACUUCAUGGACAGAAUGAGAGCUACGUUCCCUAAGGAUUGGCCAUGUGGUUGCCCAGAUCAGACCAGGGCUGCAGUCGACAGACUGACUCACCAAGGGCAUGACCUCACCCAGCUGCAGCCAGACAAAGGAGUUUCUGGCCAAACGGAUGCCAGAAGCAGCCACAGAAUUGGGCGGUAA